rnacentral:rRNA from 1 species
UUAGGGUUUGAUUCUGGCUCAGGAUGAACGCUAGCGGCAGGCUUAACACAUGCAAGUCGAGGGGUAACAGGGAAAAGCUUGCUUUUUUGCUGACGACCGGCGAACGGGUGCGUAACGCGUAUAGAAUCUGCCUUGUACAGGAGGAUAGCCUUUAGAAAUGAAGAUUAAUACUCCAUAGUGUAUAGAAGUGGCAUCACUUUUUUACUAAAGAUUUAUUGGUACAAGAUGACUAUGCGUCCUAUUAGCUAGAUGGUAAGGUAACGGCUUACCAUGGCUACGAUAGGUAGGGGGUCUGAGAGGACUAUCCCCCACACUGGUACUGAGACACGGACCAGACUCCUACGGGAGGCAGCAGUGAGGAAUAUUGGUCAAUGGAGGCAACUCUGAACCAGCCAUGCCGCGUGCAGGAAGACUGCCCUAUGGGUUGUAAACUGCUUUUAUACGGGAAGAAACAACUCUACGUGUAGAGUCUUGACGGUACCGUAAGAAUAAGCACCGGCUAACUCCGUGC